GAUUUACGAUGGCUACCUUAAUGGCCAAUUAUCUGUUGCACGUGCCCUGGGAGACUGGCACAUGAAGGGGCCCAAGGGUUCUGCAUGCCCUUUAAGUGCAGAGCCAGAAUUGCAGGAUACAAAUCUAACUGAGGAGGAUGAGUUUUUGAUCCUGGGUUGUGAUGGCCUGUGGGAUGUAAUGAGCAGCCAGUGUGCAGUGACAAUUGCAAGGAAGGAACUAAUGCUACAUAACGAUGCUGAAAGAUGCUCAAGAGAGUUGGUCAGGGAGGCUCUAAAGCGCAGCACAUGUGAUAACGUAACAGUGAUAGUGGUUUGUUUCUCGCCAGACCCACCCCCUCGGAUGGAGAUCCCACAAUUUCGAGUUCGAAGAAGCAUAUCAGCUGAGGGUCUCAAUUUGCUCAAGGGUGUACUGGACUGCAACUCAUGAAAGGAUGGGAUGAUUUAGAGAGGUUUGUACAAAUGCUUUUCAGGGACAAUUUUUUUUUUUUUUUUCUCCUAGGCUGCUCCAAGUGUCCUCGUAUGAAUGGCUGAUGUUCAGGAAAUAAACAUCGCAUAGAAUGUGAUUCUUUUGAGUUUCAAAAUCCUGUGCGUCUGAGAUCAUUUAUGUUGUACCAUUUCAUUGAGUUCAUUGUUCAACUGUCUAGUUGCAUGGACAAAUCUCUUAUUUUUCAUUUAUCCUUUGUACAUAUAUUUGAAAAAAGAAAACUUGAGGGGUAUGCUCUUCCAUUGCCCAUUAGUUGUCUUGGCUAUUUGUCAUUCAUUUAACUAACUGAUUUACAGCAAUGGUUUCAUGGUAUAACUUGAUUAAUUAUUCCCUUUGAUCGCUCAUUGAAUGAUAGCAUGUGGUAUAUGAACUUUUUUGGAAUUUCUAUUUCAGUAUCUCGACCUUAAGUUUGCUCUCUUAAGUGUGAAUUGUCAUGUCAUUACCAGCACGUACCAAAUGGUGUUAGAAGCCGUAUGCGUAUUAAUGUACCAAUUU
rnacentral:misc_RNA from 1 species